AAGUCGUAACAAGGUUUCCGUAGGUGAACCUGCGGAAGGAUCAUUACAGAGUUCAUGCCCUCACGGGUAGAUCUCCCACCCUUGACUAUAUACCUUUGUUGCUUUGGCGGGCCGCUCCGGCCACCGGCUUCGGCUGGUGAGUGCCCGCCAGAGGACCCCAAAACUCUGUUUAUCGUGUCGUCUGAGUUACUAUAUAAUAGUUAAAACUUUCAACAACGGAUCUCUUGGUUCUG
rnacentral:misc_RNA from 1 species